rnacentral:rRNA from 1 species
CCAAGGAGUCUAACAUGUGCGCGAGUCAUUGGGUCUUGACCAGGCCCAGAGGCGCAAUGAAAGUGAAGGAUGCCUUCGGGCGUCCGCGUUGGGAUCCCGGGAGCAGUCCCGGGCGCACCAACGGCCCGUCUCGUCUGCCACGUCAGUGGGACGGAGCGAGAGCGUACACGUUGGGACCCGAAAGAUGGUGAACUAUGCCUGGGCAGGACGAGGCCAGAGGAAACUCUGGUGGAGGUCCGCAGCGAUUCUGACGUGCAAAUCGAUCGUCAGACCUUGGUAUAGGGGCGAAAGACUAAUCGAACCGUCUAGUAGCUGGUUCCCUCCGAAGUUUCCCUCAGGAUAGCUGGUGCUCGAGGGAGUCAGUCUCAUCCGGUAAAGCGAAUGAUUAGAGGCCUUGGGGCCGAAACGACCUCAACCUAUUCUCAAACUUUCAAUGGGUGAGAAGUCCGGCUUACAUGACUGAAGCCCGGACGAUUCUCAGGAUGCGAGUGCCCAGUGGGCCACUUUU